GAAGAGUCUGGAAGCGAGGGAGCUGCUGACGUCUGCGGCCGAGGCGCCGUGCGCAGUCGGGCCAAACGCGGCGACCGGCUCGGGCUGGUGUGGGAGCAGAGAAGUUUCCCGCCGAGUGGUCGCCAGACACCUCUGCCGAGUUGUGGCGGCCGGGCGGGGUCGCAGGGCUGUGGAGGCAGGGAGUCAGGUCGGCUGCAGGCCCGGCCGGGGCGCUCGCCCUCCCCCUCCCUUUCUCCAUCCCCUCCCCUCCCCCACGCUCACGUGUUCCUGACCCCAAAGCGAGCGAAGAUUGCCCAGCAGGUCACUGUGAAGUUGGGACGCGUGAGUUGGCAGAGAUGAACGCUCACUGCAGUGGACACCAACCCAGAGGCGGCUAAACGAGCAUUCCCGAAGUCCUGCGCUCAGCCGACCAGGUGAGGAGAAACUCCUCGCGGCACAUACACUGUCCGAUGGGAAUAACGACGGCUCGGGUGUCCAAGACAGUGAUUCAGCAGGACCAAACGCUAGGAACUGCAGGAUUCCAGGGAAGCCUCUUCAUAUUCGCAGGUCUCCAUUUUUCUCUCUCGGAAGAGCAGGAAAUAUGAGAGAAGAGCUUAUGAACUUGAUGAAAAGGUCUUGUCUUGAGCCUGUGCAAUUACCUCCUCUUCUUCCCCACAAUCCACUGAAAUGGGAAGAAAUUAAAAAGAGAGAGAAGAAAAGAAAAGAGGAAACUUUGUAGGACUGCUGUAAAAGAGGAAAAUGUACCAUUGACGUAUAAGAAAUAUGGAACUUGGGGAAUAUGUGAAACAGAGAGGACCAGAUGGAAGCAAAAACCUAUCAGACUUGAAUAGAUUCCACAUAUAGUAGAAGAAAGACUGAAGAUAAAUGAACCCAUCCAUGUUUGUCACUCAGUGGUUAUUUGAGUGCAGUGUUGAGAAGGCGUGUGAAGCCUCUCAAUCUGAAGAUUUAGCCGUUAGUACUGACUGGCCAUGGCCGUGGUCCUGAGCCUGGACCUCCUGCUCAUUUUUCAUCCAGGACAGCGGUGACAGCGUGGGACGCUGCACAGUUUCAAGAUUCCUCGUCUCUGUAAUCCCCUCUGAGAUGCGGAUUAUACCCGACGGCUCUCUGCUUAUCUUCUAAGUAGGAGGAAGAUUCAACGCCCCUGUCUGACAGAAGCAGAGCAGCCUUAGUGUGCACCAGCCGCAGAGGUCAGCAGCACAGCAAAGGGGAUGAUGCACCUCCUUGAAGGUUAUCGUCUCGAGGUGGUGCCUCAGCUGUGCCGUCAUAAGACCAUUCCAUGGCUCCCUCAGGCUGGCGGCGUCCGGGUCUCCCAGCAGGUGACGUAACCCAAGGAUCCCAGGGCCACGUGGCCACUGCUGCGCCACCUUUGCUGUGAAGUAGGCCCCUUUUGUCUGAUGUGACAUCUUAUGGGAUCCCCUACUGGUGGAUCAAAAGCUGCAGGCCGUCUGCCAGUGGAGCUGGCUAAGGCCCUUCUGGCAGGAAAGGCCAGUCUGUACCCCAGAUAUAUGUUGAGUCAAGGCAAGACGAGUCACUGCCUCUUUCAGGUGGAAGGAGUCCAGUUAGUCAGCUUGCCGUGAAACCGUUGGUUGUUCUCUGAGAUUUUCAUUUGUUCAGCAUCGGGUUCUUUUGCUUGAUGGCUGGACUUCGGCAAGGGAAGUAACUAGAUCGGCUUUCAUGGGAGGAAGUCCGUUCUGUUGGGCCGGUGCAUGUCCAUCUCUGCUACCAUGGCUAGUCUGUUCACGAGCACUGAUGGGCUGGCUGAGUGACGGAAGCUGGCUGAGGUCAGCUGGCACAGUCGCUCUGUCUACUUGGUUGUUCAUGUCUUUUGUGUGGUGGAUGAUCUCUGCUGCAUGUGGCCGUGUGAUACAGAGACCUUCAUACUUUUGAAUACUCUGAUAGGUCCACCCACAUGCAUCUUCCUGAGACCUUCUUACUCCCAAUUAUCCAAUCAUUCUCCUUCCGGGCCUCAAUUCACCGGCCUCACCAUUCUCCACUGCCCGUGAGUCGAUCUCCACUGCCCUGCCCGUGAGUCGAUAUCUGUUCUAACCUGAGGUCCCUUUCCUUUCACACGAAGUAGAUGAGCAGGUGCGCUGUCCCCAGCCCCACGCACGGGGCGGGUGUCUGCUUGCUGCUCUUUCAAGUCCGCCCCUUAGCGGAAUCGGUCCAUUUCGGCUUGUGCCCGCAGACUAUCCCAACACAGACAGUGAUCUGCUUCCUCCGUCAUUAGUCAUGAGGGAGCCCUGAGCUCCCACAGGACACGGGUAAGCCCCGCUCGUGUUCGAUUCUGGCUUUACCAUUUCCAUCUCUCAGUGGGUGGCUGCCGGGCCCACCUGAUCGUACGGCCUGGUGGCCUGAUAGAACCCAGCUCAUCAUGAAAAGACAUUCCAUCUCGAUUAGGCCCCGUCGCCAGGAGCUCUGAGCCGGGCUGACUCUUCACAUUUGUUCUAUUUGAGACAAGACACCUGGGCAUUUGUUCCCCGCAUUGGCGAUCCCUUGUGUAGAGAUCGUGCCGCCGUCCGACACUACCUGUCACGGGGAAGCAAGUUGGUUGAGUUCCGGGGUGAAGCGCGCAGGCCCAUUUGACUUGCCCCCAACGCUCUGUUCUCUGGCCCGACUGUAUCACUGAUACCUUCGCCUCCACCUUGCUCUUAUUUUUCUGUUUCUCAAACACCCAGGACCUGGGUGGGGAAGAAGGACGCUACUCCCCUCCAAGCGCUCCUUCAAGGCCGCCACGCCCUAAGAUAUUAGGCUGCUGUAAGCGUCUGCUGAUAGGGUGGCGGCGUCUGCUGAAGCACCGCCCCCCUUUCCGGUUCUUCGCCGUCCCGGGCGUUCCGGUCCGCGGGCUGGUUUUCAGCCGGAGCGCUCUGUCCUGUCAGCGCUCUGCCCCUAACUCCGCUGAGGAGCGUGCUUCAGCGCCCCUUGAACCAUCCCCUGUUCCCGCGUAUGUUCUCGAAGGUUUCCAGGGAGUUUGCCCUUUUAGCGUCGUCACUCUUUUAUGGCUCUCUCCUCUCCCUCGGAUUUUGGACCCGCAUCAAAGGGCACCUGGUGUCGUUAAAGUGCUCGUUUCCUCCAGCUCUGACCCGCCGUUUUUAGGCCAGGUUUGUGCAUCCUGAAAACUCUCUUCUUGUAGGAUGAAUUGUUUCCUACGUGGUUCUUUGGUCUUUCAGGGAAAUUGGCCCCGGUGAGUUCACCCCUCUAGUUUUCCCGGUAUGCACUGAAUUCAUAACUUCCUGUCUGAAUCCCAGCUUAACCACAGGUCUGCUUUCCAGAGCCGCAUACUACAUUUGUUUGGAAUCCUGACUUUUACUUGGUGAUUGGCCAGUUUAAACCUCAGAGGAUUUAUAUCAAUAUCUGUCGUACGUAGCCCUAAAUGGAGUCAGAGCAAAUGAGCUGAAAGUGCACGCAGCCUGGCCAACUCGUUUUCACUUAAUGUUUUUAUCAGUUGCAAAAUUUUCCAUCACUUACUCUUUUCCUGCUUCUUAGUCCUCGCCUCCCCUUUUUGUGUUGUUUUUGGCAUUUUCUAUUCUCAGUUGCAUCUGAAAUAAGCUUUUCACAUAUUGUUCUCAUCCAUAGCUUACAUCCUCU